ensembl:lncRNA
UGCGCACCAGACACACCGUGCGCAUGCUGGUUUACCAUUAUUUUCGCGCGCUCCAGCAUCCAUCACUCGACUCACAACUUCACUGAGGAAAACUGACAGUGGGUGAAUGUAUGAUGGCGCCACCUCAGGACCCACAGUUGGAGAAGCUGGUUGAUGAGGUGCUUAAGAACAGCAAUUUUCAGGCAUUGGGUGAUUUCUUGCAAGAUGAUGAGGGAACAACUUGGAGAUGUUCCAAACAAUUCCUCGCCAAAUUGGACAAACUUGUUAGUAGGGAAUUAGAUCACAGAAAUGUCAAGCAUGCUUGUUUGGGACUCACGAUCCUGCACAAAUUUGGGAAAAACCUGGCUUUACCUGGAGGUCAAGGCUUAUCUGGGAUGGUACUCCAAGGUCUUGUCAAAAAGAUAAGUAUUUCAACCCUAUUAUACACCCAGUUGCCAGUAUAUUAGGUAUACCACCCUGUUCAUGAAAACAGUUUUUUCGUAUAGACAGUGAGUCACGUGGUAGUUGCUUGCUAUAUACGCAGGCAGAUAGGCAGAGGCAUUCAGUUACUGUUUGUUUUAACAUUAGAAUGGGCAAAACAAUUUACCUAAGCAAUUUUGAGCGUGGUAUGAUCGUCAGUGCUGGUUCCAGUAUUUAAAAAACAGCCAGCCUCCUGGGCUUUUCAUGCACAACAGUGUCUAGGGUUUACCGAGAAUAUUGCAACAAACAAAAAACAUCCAGUCAGUGGCAGUACUGUGAGCGAAAAACAGCUUGUUGAUUGGAGGUUGAAGGAGAAUGGCAAGAAUCGUGCAAGUAAUGGGCAGGCCACAAACAGGCAAAUAACAACACAGUACAACAGUGGUUGUCCAGAACAGCAACUCGUCAGUCCUUGUCACAGAUGGGCUAUUGCAGCAGACGACCACACCAGGAGUGGGGUUCACCUCCUAUCAGCUAAAAACAAGAAGAAGCGGUUCCAUUGGGCACGCAAUCACCAACACUAGACAAUUGAGGAGUGGAAAAACAGCCUGGUCCGACUAAUCCCGGUUGCAGUUGAG